rnacentral:rRNA from 1 species
GAAUUCAGUGAAUCAUCGAAUCUUUGAACGCACCUUGCGCUCCUUGGUAUUCCGAGGAGCAUGCCUGUUUGAGUGUCUUG